UGUCUUAUUCGUCUUAUAUUGAUACAUGUAUGAGAAACAUUUUGUCUGAGAAAGCCUCUAAUGACUCAUUUUACCAUAUGGAAUAAAAUGUUUUAUUAAAAUUAACAAAAGAACAAAAAGGAUUUUUGUUUCCUUCCACAUUUUAGACAAUAAUAUGGCUUUAAAAAACUGGUUUAUUUAUUCCUUUUUGAUGUUUUCAUUGAUAUAUUCAUAUAGAAAACGUAGAUGGUACAGUAUUUUGGGGGGUAGUGGAAAAGCAAUGACUUUCCAUGAAGAAGAUAUAUGUUCACAUUCACAUUUACUUUACUAGCUAUAUGACCUGGGCAAAUUAAUCUCUCUGAGCUUCAGUUUCCUCAUCUGUAAAAGAAAUAGGUUGGAUUUACUCUAAAAUCCCAUCUAGCUUUAAAUACAUGAACCCACGACUACAAAGCAUCCUCAGUGAAAUCCAAAGAUGAUAAACAUAGAGCUGAUCAUCUACAUUUGAUAAUCAUUUAUACUAUUAUAUAACAGGUAGCCUAUUAAAUUAAUGUAUCAGCAUGAGUAUCUUGAAUAAAUGGUGUGAUUAAAUAAUUUGCUGAGCCUGGGAAUGACAAAGAGAUAGAAAAGGAGCUGUAUUUUAUUUCAGAAAUUGCAUAGUUAUUCAAUGAUUCUAAACUGUUCACAGGUAAAAUUGAUACAUAUAUAUGCAUAUAUAUACAAAUAUAUAUUAUAUGAUGGUGUUAUAUGGAUGAAAAUCAUACCAAGAUCUCAGAAAAAUUAAAGUUCUACAUUAAUUCCAGGCAAUGUAAAGAUACAUUGGCAUCAAAAGACUUUAGGAUAUUACCAAUAAAGCCUUGUGGGACAUAGAUACAGGAGUCGAAAAGACAUGGUUGAGUACAAAUAUAAUUGAAAAGAUGAGCAGGUCACAUUAUUAAGAAAAAGAGACAAAAUGGGGUAUUUCUAGUGGUGAUUAGCACUCUAAAUACAUUUGAAGAGCAAAAUGAAAAUCCUUAGCACUUUGGGUAAAUACUGUAAUGGGAGAAGGGAAGGCCUGGAGGAGUUGUGAUCCUUAUAGAAAAGGUAUCUAUACCUCACAGAAAUCAUAGAUUCAUUAAAAUAGCUUUCUCAGAACCUAGUAUAGUGUUUUGCAACUAGCUCUAUGGUGGACACUCAAUAAAUGUUUAUUGAAUGGAGACUUGGCUCAGAACUCUUUUUCAUUGCUAUAUAUCCUUAUGAUCCCCUCUUACACUAAAAUUCUGAUUCUCAGCUUUUACUGACCAGCCUUAAGUAAUCUGAUGAUUUGUCUAGUCCAUGAUGUAUUUGCUUGGUAGUUUCAAUCAUGCCCAACUCUGUGACCCUAUUUGUUUGUUUUUGGCAAAGGUAAGACCAUUUGAAAUGUCUUUCUCCAGAUCAUUUUGCAGAUGAGAAAACUGAAGUAAACAGGAUUAAGUGACUUGUCCAGGCUCACAUAACUAGUAAGAUCAAGAAAUGAUCACAGAAUGAAUAAAUCAAUGAAUUAUGCUAAGAAACACAUUGUGAUUUGAUGAUAUGAUAACCUAGGCAUCAUUUAGGAUUUAAUUAAACCUCAAGGCAAAGUCAAUGUUUUCAUGUUCUCUUCCAUGUACUAUAAAGUCCUUGAGGUAAGAGAUCAUAUUUUACCUUUUUGUAGCCCAGCCAUUUAAAAUAGUACCUGUAAUAUACUAGGUACUUGAUAAAUGUUUGAUUGCUAUAAAAAUAGGAAUUCUCUCAAAUAGGGGUUUGAUUUCUAGUUUCCUACAUCAAUGCUGUACGUAACAGAUAUAUAAUUUCAUGGUAUGUUCGAUAUGGGAUCAUACCCUGAUAAUUUCAUAAGUGUUUUUUGAUGAGAAUGCUAAUAAUGUGACUUGACUGAAUUUAUUUAAAAGCAUUAUUUUCUCAGUAACCUUCCUAAAGUUUGGAAAAGGAAUGGAUACAAAGGAGUAAAAUAACUGGAAGAGGAAGGCUAAUUUCCCUUAUUAAAAUGAUGAGCAAUGGGCUCUAAAAUGCUACUUUUCCAGGAGGCAAAGAAUUAUCCUAGUAGUUGAUCAGAGACUGUGUUGCCAUAAUUUUAUUUUUUUGUGUGUAAUCAAACAAACCAUAACAAUCCAGGAUUGGAGUAGGUGACUCAUUAUUCCUGCCAAAUUUGCCAAAGUAACUUGGUUUAGGAAAACAACCACCGAUAGAUAAUUGUUCUGCAUCCUCUGGGAAACUUUCACUAGGGUUAGCUGCACCUGACAAGUCAAUUUCAUUCCUACUUUCUCUCCCCCUCCCUCCCACAUCCUUCCUCCUCCCCCAGCGCCGGGUUCUCGGGGGACAUACCCACGAUAUUUUUUCUAUUUAGGGGAGGCUUGUGAACUACCUAACUCUCUCUUUCUUUUUUCUCACUCCCACUGCAAAAUUACAAUUGUCAGCACAUGGAGACUUUGAAAAAUGAGGAGGAAGUUGUAGAAUGUAAGCUUUAAUCCCAAGACUUUCAAGAAGGGUGAAGGGAGAUCAUCAUCUAGGGGCGCGCAAGGCAUACAUUUAUUAGGACAUCAUUAAAAAAAAAACAAAAAACAAACCAAAACAAAAAAGCAACACACCGAACCCCUCCCCCCCCGUCCCCUCCCCCCCCCCCCCCCCCCUUCUUUAUAACAAGACGGUGAAAAUAAGCUCAAUAAAUGAAGAGCCAUGUGCUAGUCUUCUGAAAGGCACACGCCGGUUGCUGCCCCGGGCGGACCGAAGUCUUAGUUCCCCGCCUUCAGCUGCCUGACAUAGAGUAGGGGAGGAGCAGGAGCCGGGAGGGGGGGUGGGUGAGCGCGCACCAUCCCGAGCCAAGACAAGCAACACAUUCACAAAUAACACCCCCCACUUCCACCCCCACCCCCACGCGCUACCAUUCAAACCAGCCUCUCUCCCCAGCCGCACUGACAGUGUCCGCACCGCCACCCCGCCGGGGCGCAGCGCCAGGGCGCACGGAGCCCGAGACUUGCCCAAGCCGGAGCUGGAGUCCAGGCGGCGGCUGCGGCAGCCGCACAAGGAUUCCCAGCGCCAGCCAGGGGGAGCUGGAAGGAGCCGUCUCCGCGACACCGCGGAUCAAGAGGAAAGAGCGAGUUAGGGGGACCGGGACUCCGCUGACACUCCCCUACUUCGGCGGCCAGUCCGCCGGAGUGGAGGGCGACCAUGGCACUGGCAGUGGGGCCGCUGCGCCGGGGGAGCUUGGCCCCUAUCCUCUUGGGCACCCUGUGUCUCCUGUACAUCGCCGGACAGGUAUGUGGAGAUCAAAGCCAAGGAGCUGUGUUUUUACGGGAAUUUACACUGAUUCGAAGAGAGAGCCUUCAUGACGAUUUCCUUUCCGAUCUCCUGAACAGCCACAAAAUUGAAGAUGCGUCAUGCAUAUUCUCUUUGCAAUCAAGAAAAUCAGCAAUGUUUUGGAUCUCAGGUACUGUUGUUGAAGACUCAUGUUUUAG
rnacentral:lncRNA from 1 species